AUUGAACGCUGGCGGCAGGCUUAACACAUGCAAGUCGAACGGAACCUUCGGGUUUAGUGGCGAACGGGUGAGUAAUACCUAGGAAUCUGCCUAUUAGUGGGGGAUAACGGCUCGAAAGGGUCGCUAAUACCGCAUACGUCCUACGGGAGAAAGAGGGGGAUCUUCGGACCUCUUGCUAAUAGAUGAGCCUAGGCCGGAUUAGCUAGUUGGUAGGGUAAAGGCCUACCAAGGCGACGAUCCGUAGCUGGUCUGAGAGGAUGAUCAGCCACACUGGAACUGAGACACGGUCCAGACUCCUACGGGAGGCAGCAGUGGGGAAUAUUGGACAAUGGGGGCAACCCUGAUCCAGCCAUGCCGCGUGUGUGAAGAAGGCCUCGGUUGUAAGUACACUUUAAGACGAGGAGGAAGGUACGUUUGUAACUAAUAAUUUACUAAAGAAAUUAGACGUUAACUCGCAGAAUAAGACACCGG
rnacentral:rRNA from 1 species